GCUCGAGUUCCACUCGGAAAGCUGAAUCCAGAGGGGCACAUAGGUGCCCUUGGAGUAAUGGGAACAAAUGUUAUGAGAUGGGAUUGCUUGAAUUUGAGGAAUGACAGACAACAGGACAGAGUACACACCUGAGAGGUUUUGGAAAGAUGCUGUAAUCAUGCCUCGCAAGCCACCAGGAACCGGAAGGAAACAAAAAGAUUUAUGUGUAAUGCUUUACAUACCUGUGCCUGUGUACCACGUGUACAUGUAUAUCACACAGAUUCUUUCACCAUUCUAAAAGUGCUUUGCAAGUGAUGAGRAUGCUAGAAAACUCUGCUUCUCCUUACUGAAAAGAAACCUUUAAGAAAAUGAAAGGAAAAAAUCAAUGGAUGUUAUUCUGACAACAAAAUUAUAGACAGAACACAAUCUUCCCUGAGGCUUUUUGGCAAAUGUUUUAGCCUUAUUUGGGCUGAGUCCCCUGUUAACCUGAAAGGAAGGCAGAGGGUUUUUAAUACAAA